UUUUAGACGGUUUUCGUGUAAAACGAAAGUGACCGCAUUCGUGUUCAUCCUUAAUAUUGAAAUGUAAGUUGUAUUUGAUGAUAAUACGUAACAUAUAUAAAGAUUGAGGAUGAACACGGAUGCGGCCAUUUUCAUUUUAGACAAAAACCAUCUGAAA
rnacentral:sRNA from 1 species